rnacentral:rRNA from 1 species
AUUGAACGCUAGCGGGAUGCCUUACACAUGCAAGUCGAACGGCAGCACGGACUUCGGUCUGGUGGCGAGUGGCGAACGGGUGAGUAAUGUAUCGGAACGUGCCUAGUAGCGGGGGAUAACUACGCGAAAGCGUAGCUAAUACCGCAUACGCCCUACGGGGGAGAGCAGGGGAUCGCAAGACCUUGCACUAUUAGAGCGGCCGAUAUCGGAUUAGCUAGUUGGUGGGGUAACGGCUCACCAAGGCGACGAUCCGUAGCUGGUUUGAGAGGACGACCAGCCACACUGGGACUGAGACACGGCCCAGACUCCUACGGGAGGCAGCAGUGGGGAAUUUUGGACAAUGGGGGAAACCCUGAUCCAGCCAUCCCGCGUGUGCGAUGAAGGCCUUCGGGUUGUAAAGCACUUUUGGCAGGAAAGAAACGUCAUGGGUUAAUACCCCGUGAAACUGACGGUACCUGCAGAAUAAGCACCGGCUAACUACGUGCCAGCAGCCGCGGUAAUACGUAGGGUGCAAGCGUUAAUCGGAAUUACUGGGCGUAAAGCGUGCGCAGGCGGUUCGGAAAGAAAGAUGUGAAAUCCCAGAGCUUAACUUUGGAACUGCAUUUUUAACUACCGAGCUAGAGUGUGUCAGAGGGAGGUGGAAUUCCGCGUGUAGCAGUGAAAUGCGUAGAUAUGCGGAGGAACACCGAUGGCGAAGGCAGCCUCCUGGGAUAACACUGACGCUCAUGCACGAAAGCGUGGGGAGCAAACAGG